UUAAUCGAGGAGUAUCAUUCA
rnacentral:piRNA from 1 species